CGGCCCUGCUCGACAUCGUCUGCGAUGUUCGGGUCGUGCCACAGCGGCUCGCGGCAUUUCACCACCGGGAUCGAGCGGGUCGAGUAGAGCUCGGUCGGCAGCCAUUCGAGCGUGCCGGCAUCAUAAAUGUUGCCGGCGUUGCCGCCGCUCGGCGCAAGUCGGAAAUUGCGCGCUAU
rnacentral:misc_RNA from 1 species